rnacentral:rRNA from 1 species
UACGGAGGGGGCUAGCGUUGUUCGGAAUUACUGGGCGUAAAGCGCGCGUAGGCGGAUCUGCAAGUCGGGGGUGAAAUCCCGAGGCUCAACCUCGGAACUGCCUUCGAUACUGCGGGUCUCGAGUCCGGGAGAGGUGAGUGGAAUUCCUAGUGUAGAGGUGAAAUUCGUAGAUAUUAGGAAGAACACCAGUGGCGAAGGCGGCUCACGUGGCCCGGUACUGACGCUGAGGCGGCGAAAAGCGUGGGGAGCAAACAGG